rnacentral:rRNA from 1 species
AUUGAACGCUGGCGGCAUGCCUUACACAUGCAAGUCGAACGGCAGCACGGGAGCAAUCCUGGUGGCGAGUGGCGAACGGGUGAGUAAAGUAUCGGAACGUGCCCAGUCGUGGGGGAUAACGUAGCGAAAGUUACGCUAAUACCGCAUACGAUCUAUGGAUGAAAGCGGGGGAUCGCAAGACCGCGCGCGAUUGGAGCGGCCGAGAUCAGAUUAGGUAGUUGGUGGGGUAAAGGCUCACCAAGCCGACGAUCUGUAGCUGGUCUGAGAGGACGACCAGCCACACUGGGACUGAGACACGGCCCAGACUCCUACGGGAGGCAGCAGUGGGGAAUUUUGGACAAUGGGCGCAAGCCUGAUCCAGCCAUGCCGCGUGCAGGAUGAAGGCCUUCGGGUUGUAAACUGCUUUUGUACGGAACGAAAAGGUUUGACUUAAUACGUUGGACUCAUGACGGUACCGUAAGAAUAAGCACCGGCUAACUACGUGCCAGCAGCCGCCGUAA